rfam:TPA: Bos taurus chromosome X, whole genome shotgun sequence.
UGGCUUAGAUGGUAAAGAACUUGCCUGCAAUGCAAGAGACCCUGGUUCAAUCCCUGG